GCCGGGUGUGGUAGCACAUGCCUGUAAUCCCAACCUCUGGGGAAGCAGAGACUGGAGGAUCAUGAGUUCAAAAUCAAUCUCAGCAAAAGAAAGGCACUAAGCAACUCAGUGAGACCCUGUCUCUA
rnacentral:sRNA from 1 species